rnacentral:rRNA from 1 species
GAUCAUGGCUCAGGAUGAACGCUAGCGGCAGGCCUAACACAUGCAAGUCGAGGGGUAGAGGGUGCUUGCAUCCUUGAGACCGGCGCACGGGUGCGUAACGCGUAUGCAACCUGCCUUCCACAGGGGAAUAGCCCAGAGAAAUUUGGAUUAAUGCCCCCAUGGCACAUCGAGACGGCAUCGUCUUGGUGUUAAAGUAACAACGGUGGAAGAUGGGCAUGCGUCCCAUUAGCUAGUUGGUAAGGUAACGGCUUACCAAGGCUAUGAUGGGUAGGGGUCCUGAGAGGGAGAUCCCCCACACUGGUACUGAGACACGGACCAGACUCCUACGGGAGGCAGCAGUGAGGAAUAUUGGUCAAUGGACGAGAGUCUGAACCAGCCAAGUAGCGUGAAGGAUGACUGCCCUAUGGGUUGUAAACUUCUUUUAUACGGGAAUAAAGUGGGCUAUGUAUAGCUUUUUGUAUGUACCGUAUGAAUAAGGAUCGGCUAACUCCGUG